AGGCGGAUAGCUCAAUGGUAGAGCGGUGCUCUUAUACAGCAUUGGUUGUGGGUUCGACUCCCGCUCCGCCUA
rnacentral:tRNA from 2 species